rnacentral:lncRNA from 1 species
AACAAGGGAUUACAAUGAACUAUGGUCAAGCACACUUCUAAACCUCAAUAUCAUUAUGCAUAACAUAACUAUUUAACUUUACAUCAUUAUACAAUUUACCAUGUCCACUAUCUAUCUAUUACAAACAUAAAACUUUACUCUUCUUGACUUCUCUGUCUAGCCCGUACCUGCAAUCCUGGGGGAUUAGGGAAAAGGGGUGAGCUACUAGAGCCCAGUGAGCAGAAUAAUAGAAAACAACAUUUAAAAUCUCAUGCCAUCAUGUAAUGCAACACAUCACAACAAAUCACAUCUCGGAUGGUAUUGUCACCAAUAGUCCUCUACAUUCCAAAGUGCCGGGACGUAGAAUGGGUACAACCGGUCUUUCUCUUAACAUAACAUAUCAUAACAUACCAAUGUGCUAGGGACGUAGAAUGGGUACAACCUGGACUUUCUCUUACGUAGUGCCAGGGACGUAGAAUGGGUACAACCUGGACUUCCAUACCAUACCAUGCCGUAGCAUCAUCGUAUCAUAUGAGGACUAAAGGGUCAUCCAAUAACCAAUCCACAUCAACAUCAUAAAUGCAAUGCAACAUAUUCGUGGAUUCUAAUGCAAACAACCUAUUUCAUCACAUGGCAUCCAUGAUGCAUGAUCAUGCUCAACUGUAUAAUUCAUUUGCUUUAAAAACAUAAGGUUUAUUCUACUCACCUCUGGCUAGCUCUGACAAAGACUUAUGCAGCUAACUCACUGCUGGGGUCCUCGGUUCCUCGGGUCCGAACCUACACAGGUGGACUCAAAUGAGGGAUCAAACAACUAGAACAUAACUCUAAAAAACAUCCCCUAAAACCCCCUAAAACACCUCAAAACAAUCAUGCAAAAACAUGCAAAGGAAGGCAGAACAGGGCAGGUUCGGCGGCACCUUUGGCGGCCAAAAGUCCCUCAAGAACCGAAACCCAGGCAGGUUCGGCGGCACCUUCGGCGGCCGAAAGUCCUAGACAGAGACGAAAUUCUCUUUUCGGGGGCAACUUCGGCAGCCGAAAGGCCUGCCUCCCCAGCCAUGUUCGGCGGCCGAAAGUUCCUUCGGCUGCCGAACCUGGUUUCUGCCAAAGGGCAGAAACUUGGCUCCUUUAAGCACAUUUGCCUCCAAAACUUCCAAUCAUGCAUUUAGCUCAACCAAAACAUGCAAAUAUACAUACAUUGGCUCCUAGGGGCUUCAAACUAACUUAAACCCCAACUACAACACACAACAACAACACAAAUCCAACAUACAUUGCUCAAAACAUAACAUUAACUCAAAAACCUAACUAUGAGCUAAACAUGCAUUCUACCCCAUAGAUCUUGCAUAAAACUUACUUUAAACAUGAAAUGAGCUUAAGAUCGGCUCUUACCUCUUGAAGAUCAAGAGAGAGACGUCCUAAACUCGGAGGUGGGAGAUUUUUGAGUUCUUGAACCUCAAAUCUCCAAAACUUGCUUUAAACUCGAAAAUCUUCAAAACAAAGCAAAAACUUGUGAAAAUCUUG